GAAUUUUGGACAAUGGGCGAAAGCCUGAUCCAGCAAUGCCGCGUGCAGGAUGAAGGCCUUCGGGUUGUAAACUGCUUUUGUACGGAACGAAAAGUUUUGGGUUAAUACCCUUUAGUCAUGACUGUACCGUUAGAAUAAGCAACCGCUAACUACGUGCCAGCAGCCGCGGUAAUACGUAGGGUGCAAGCGUUUAUCGGAAUUACUGGGGGUAAAGCGUGCGCAGGCGGUUUUGUAAGACAGAGGUGAAAUCCCCGGGCUCAACCAGGGAACUGCGUUUGUGACUGCAAGGCUAGAGUACGGCAGAGGGGGGUGGAAUUCCGCGUGUAGCAGUGAAAUGCGUAGAUAUGCGGAGGAACACCGAUGGCGAAGGCAACCCCCUGGGCCUGUACUGACGCUCAUGCACGAAAGCGUGGGGAGCAAA
rnacentral:rRNA from 1 species